rnacentral:lncRNA from 1 species
AAGGGUCUUGGGAUAGUUGGAGUUAAGCGUCCUUGGGUUUGAAUAGUACUGGGCUGGGUGACCUCCCGGGAAGUCCAAACUCAGGAGCUUACAUUUGGUAUCAGAGCGGUCUCGGGUCCGACUCUGUUAGUUGGCUAGGGGAAUCACACCACAUGUUAAUUGACAUCUGGCUGGUCCAAUUUGCUCCUGCUGGGCUCGACCCGAGGGGUAGGGUGUCAAGAGAGCGGGGCUCUCGGGAGAGUUGCGGCUCUCAGCUUCCGUUCACGAGGGCGUGAACUUGCAGGGAAGCGUGGUGGAUUGUAAGCAACCAAAGGGAACGACUCGAGAGACGAUCCAUGGGGUUCAAAUAUAGAGGGAAAGGGCCCAUGAAUAAGAGUGCACCCCCUUUUCCAAUCGGUUAAGGGUCUUGGGAUAGUUGGAGUUAAGCGUCCUUGGGUUUGAAUAGUAUUGGGCUGGGUGACCUCCCGGGAAGUCCAAACUCAGAAGCUUACAUUUGGUAUCAGAGCGGUCUCGAGUCCGACUCUGUUGGUUGGCUAGGGGAAUCACACCACAUGUUAAUUGACAUCUGGCUGGUCCAAUUUGCUCCUGCUGGGCUCGACCCGAGGGGUAGGGUGUCAAGAGAGCGGGGCUUUCGGGAGAGUUGCGGCUCUCAGCUUCCGUUCACGAGGGCAUGAACUUGCAAGGAAGCGUGGUGGAUUGUAAGCAACCAAAGGGAACGACUCGAGAGACAAUCCAUGGGGUUCAAAUAUAGAGGGAAAGGGCCCAUGAAUAAGAGUGCACCCCC